rnacentral:misc_RNA from 1 species
CCAGAGUGCCCUAGGCUCUCCAACCCAUUGUGAACAUACCUAACGUUCCCUCGGCGGGCUCAGCGCGCGGUGCCUCCGGGCUCCGGGCGUCCGCCGGGGACAACCAAACCCUGAUUUUAUCGUGUAUCUCUGAGGGGCGAAAGCCCGAAAACAAAAUAAAUCAAAACUUUCAACAACGGAUCUCUUGGCUCUGGCAUCGAUGAAGAACGCAGCGAAAUGCGAUAAGUAAUGUGAAUUGCAGAAUUCAGUGAAUCAUCGAAUCUUUGAACGCACAUUGCGCCCGCCGGCACUCCGGCGGGCAUGCCUGUCCGAGCGUCAUUUCAACCCUCAGGGCCCCCUUUCGGGGGGGACCUGGUGCUGGGGAUCAGCGGCCCUCGGGCCCCUGUCCCCCAAAUACAGUGGCGGUCGCGCCGCAGCCUCCCCUGCGUAGUAGCACACCUCGCACCGGAGAGCGGUUCGACCACGCCGUAAAACCCCCAACUUUCCAAG